GACGUAGGGGGCGAGCGUUAUCCGGAUUCACUGGGCGUAAAGGGCGCGUAGGCGGUUACGAAAGUCCGAUGUGAAAAGUCACGGCUCAACUGUGAUCGUGCAUCGGAUACUUCGUUGACUUGAGGUCGGUAGAGGCAAGUGGAACUAGCGGUGUAGCGGUGAAAUGCGCAGAUAUCGCUAGGAACGCCGGUGGCGAAGGCGACUUGCUGGGCCGUACCUGACGCUGAUGCGCGAAAGCUAGGGGAGCGAACCGG
rnacentral:rRNA from 1 species